CCUACGGGCGGCUGCAAUUAGGAAUCUUGCACAAUGGGGGAAACCCUGAUGCAGCGACGCCGCGUGAGGGAUGAAGCAUCUCGGUGUGUAAACCUCUUUUGACGAGGAAGAAGAAUGUGACGGUACUCGUCGAAUAAGCCCCGGCUAACUACGUGCCAGCAGCCGCGGUAAUACGUAGGGGGCGAGCGUUGUCCGAAGUUACUGGGCGUAAAGCGCGCGUAGGCGGCUAUUUAAGUCUGGGGUGAAAGGUUCAGCGCUCAACGUGAACAGUGCCC
rnacentral:rRNA from 1 species